CCUACGGGAGGCAGCAGUCGGGAAUAUUGCGCAAUGGAGGAAACUCUGACGCAGUGGCGCCGCGUAUAGGAAGAAGGUUUUCGGAUUGUAAACUAUUGUCGUCAGGGGAGAUAAAAGACUGUACCUAAGGAGGAAGCCCCGGCUAAAUAUGUGCCAGCAGCCGCGGUAAUACAUAGGGGGCAAGCGUUAUCCGGAAUUAUUGGGUGUAAAGGGUGCGGAGACGGAAGAACCAGUUGCUGGUGAAAUCCCUCGGCUCAAAUUAGGAACUGCAACCGAAACUGUUCUCCUUGAGUGUCGGAGAGGAAAGUGGAAUGCCUGGUGUAGCGGUGAAAUGCGUAGAUAUUAGGAAGAACACCAGUGGCGAAGGCGACUUUCUGGACGAUAACUGACGUUGAGGCACGAAAGUGUGGGGAGCAAACAGGAUUAGAUACCCUAGUAGUC
rnacentral:rRNA from 1 species